rnacentral:rRNA from 1 species
CCGCGUGAGUGAUGAAGGCCCUAGGGUUGUAAAGCUCUUUCAGCGAGGAGGAUAAUGACGUUACUCGCAGAAGAAGCCCCGGCUAACUUCGUGCCAGCAGCCGCGGUAAUACGAAGGGGGCUAGCGUUGUUCGGAAUUACUGGGCGUAAAGGGCGCGUAGGCGGACUGUCCAGUCAGGGGUGAAAUCCCGGGGCUCAACCCCGGAACUGCCUUUGAUACUGUCAGUCUAGAGUCCGGA